rnacentral:rRNA from 1 species
GACGAACGCUGGCGGCGUGCCUAAUACAUGCCAGUUGAGCGAUGAAGAUUGGUGCUUGCACCAAUUUGAAGAGCAGCGAACGGGUGAGUAACGCGUGGGGAAUCUGCCUUUGAGCGGGGGACAACAUUUGGAAACGAAUGCUAAUACCGCAUAACAACUUUAAACAUAAGUUUUAAGUUUGAAAGAUGCAAUUGCAUCACUCAAAGAUGAUCCCGCGUUGUAUUAGCUAGUUGGUGAGGUAAAGGCUCACCAAGGCGAUGAUACAUAGCCGACCUGAGAGGGUGAUCGGCCACAUUGGGACUGAGACACGGCCCAAACUCCUACGGGAGGCAGCAGUAGGGAAUCUUCGGCAAUGGACGAAAGUCUGACCGAGCAACGCCGCGUGAGUGAAGAAGGUCUUCGGAUCGUAAAACUCUGUUGGUAGAGAAGAACGUUGGUGAGAGUGGAAAGCUCAUCAAGUGACGGUAACUACCCAGAAAGGGACGGCUAACUACGUG